rnacentral:rRNA from 1 species
AUUGAACGCUGGCGGCAGGCCUAACACAUGCAAGUCGAGCGGAUGAUGGGAGCUUGCUCCUGGAUUCAGCGGCGGACGGGUGAGUAAUGCCUAGGAAUCUGCCUGGUAGUGGGGGACAACGUUUCGAAAGGAACGCUAAUACCGCAUACGUCCUACGGGAGAAAGCAGGGGACCUUCGGGCCUUGCGCUAUCAGAUGAGCCUGGGUCGGAUUAGCUUGUUGGUGAGGUAAUGGCUCACCAAGGCGACGAUCCAUAACUGGUCUGAGAGGAUGAUCAGUCACACGGGAACUGAGACGCGGUCCAGACUCCUACGGGAGGCAGCAGUGGGGAAUAUUGGACACUGGGCGAAAGCCUGAUCCAGCCAUGCCGUGUGUGUGAAGAAGGUCGUCGGAUUGUAAAGCAAUUUAAGUUGGGAGGAAGGGUUGUAGAUUAAUACUCUGCAAUUUUGACGUUACCGACAGAAUAAGCACCGGCUAACUCUGUUCCAGCCGCCGCCGUAAAAC